rnacentral:rRNA from 1 species
UACUCAGUGACCGAUAGCGUAUAGUACCGUGAGGGAAAGGUGAAAAGAACCCCGGGAGGGGAGUGAAAGAGAACUGAAACCCUGUGUUGACAAGCUGCGGAAGUACGAUUGAACGUAUAACCCGCGUACUUUUUGUAGAACGGUCCGGCGAGCUGCUGCAACGGGCAAGGUUAAGGACUUCAGGUCCGGAGCCGGAGGGAAACCAAGUGUAAAUAGUGCCAUAGUCAGUUGCAGUAGGCCCGAAACCGGGUGACCUAUCCAUGGCCAGAUUGAAGUCACCGUAAAAGGUGAUGGAGGAUCGAAGCCACAUCCGUUGAAAAGGGUGGGCAUGAGCUGUGGAUAGGGGAGAAAUUCCAAUCGAACCCGGAGAUAGCUGGUUCUCCCCGAAAUAGCUUUAGGGCUAGCCUUGAUUUGUUACCAUACGGAGGUAGAGCACUGAAUAUCCGAGGGGGCGUCGCAGCUUACCAAAGAUUAUCAAACUCCGAAUGCCGUAAUGGGUGAAUCAAGAGUCAGACUGUGAGAGAUAAGUUUCAUGGUCAAAAGGGAAAGAGCCCAGACCUACAGCUAAGGUCCCCAAGUACGUGUUAAGUGGAAAAGGAUGUGUGAUUUCAAAGACAACUAGGAUGUUGGCUCAGAAGCAGCCAUUCAUUCAAAGAGUGCGUAAUAGCUCACUAGUCGAGAGGCCACGCGCCGAAAAUUACCGGGGCUAAAACACGACACCGAAGCUUAGGAAUUGACUUAGGUCAAUUGGUAGGGGAGCAUUGCCAGAGCGUAGAAGCCAUACCGUAAGGAGUGGUGGAGUUCUGGGAAGAGAGAAUGCCGGAAUGAGUAGCGAGAACAAGGUGAGAAUCCUUGUGGCCGAAUAUCCAAGGGAUCCAGGGUAAAGCUGAUCUGCCCUGGGGAAGUCGGGGCCUAAGGUGAGGCAGAAAUGCGUAGCCGAUGGACAACAGGUGUAUAUUCCUGUACCGAUUUACAACAGAACUGUGGGGACACGGCGGGGAAGAAGAAGCCAGCGCAUGGUAUGCUGGUGCAAGCGAAGGAGCAGGUGCUCAGGCAAAUCCGGGCACUAAUGCAAGGUCGUGAUGCGGACCGAAAUAUAAGUAGGGAAGUCUUCUGUAGACGCUGUCGAGAAAAGCCGCUAUUGUUUGUAAAUUGCCCGUACCGUAAACCGACACAGGUGGAUGAGGAGAGAAUCCUAAGGCCGACGGAAGAAGCAUUGCUAAGGAACUCGGCAAAAUGUCCCCGUAACUUCGGAAGAAGGGGAGCCUACGCAAGUAGGCCGCAGAGAAAAGGCUCAAGCAACUGUUUAGCAAAAACACAGGUCUAUGCGAAACCGUAAGGUGAAGUAUAUGGGCUGACGCCUGCCCGGUGCUGGAAGGUUAAGAGGAGAGGUUAGCGCAAGCGAAGCUUUGAAUUUAAGCCCCAGUAAACGGCGGCCGUAACUAUAACGGUCCUAAGGUAGCGAAAUUCCUUGUCGGGUAAGUUCCGACCCGCACGAAAGGCGUAAUGAUUUGAGCACUGUCUCGGCAAUGCAUCCGGUGAAAUUGAAGUACCAGUGAAGAUGCUGGUUACCCGCGCCAGGACGGAAAGACCCCAUGGAGCUUUACUCCAGUUUGAUACUGGGAUUCGGUAGCAUAUGCACAGGAUAGGUGGGAGACUAAGAUGCAAUGGUUUCGGCUGUUGCGGGAGUCACUGUUGGG